UUCAUUCUCUCCUCUAUGCUAUUACCUUUGGCUCCCUACGGCAUCGUUUACCAGUCUUCUAGCUGCAAGCGUGAGCCUUCCGUACAGUUGGACCCGCUACCUUGCCUGCUUUCACAGAGAAAGAAGUGACAACAAGAGAAAAGAAAACAAGGAUUUCCUCCCCUGGCUUUGUACAACGUGCUUGUGUUUCUCAUCCUUCUAUUCAGAAAGAUGGGUUUAUCUCAAGGUUUUAGAAGUCCAUUGUACCACAGAAAUGUCACUGUAAUCGGCCCUGAAGCACUAAGGGAGAAAAAAGGGCACCAUCCCGAGGAUUAGCAUCCGCUGGGUAGGCCUACUGUGGUCAGUCCACUGAAAGAAAGCUGUACUUCCCCCCUUGAGUUUGGUGGCAUAUGAUUGCUGAAGUUUCGCGGUGUGACUUGUUCUUCUGUCAAAGCCCAGAUAUGAAGCUUGAGGAAACCGACAGAACUUGGACUUCUCGUCUCCUGAGACUUCUCCUCCCAACCUACCUACGUUUCAUCAGAUAGAUGGGUUUACUCCACAUAGGCCAGAUCCAGAAAGUCCUACACACAGUACCAGGCUCUGGACAUACCCAGAACCUGUGCUCGCAAGUUCUUCCCCUAGUUUUCCAUGUCAGACCAACUGGAAGCUCCUUCACGCUAGGGUAGAGAUUGUAGCUAUGUGGAGAAAGGUGCAAAAAUCUAGCAGAAUGACGAAUAGACUGACACCAGCAAUCAAGCAACUCCUUCAACUUACUGUAGGAUUUCCAGCUGAACUGGCGUCCAUGUGAGAAAUUAGUGAGGAUCUAAAACAGAAGCUGCCAACCCAUUUGAAACAACCUUGUUAGAAGAGCCAAGGGGCUGCUGAGAGAAGAGAUUUUUGAAGACCAAGUCAGGGUUUCUUGGUGUGGCUCUGGCUGUCCUGCAACUCACUCUACAGACCAGGCCGGCCCUGAACUCAGAGAUCUGCCUCACAAAUGCUGGGAUUAAAGGUUACAGCCAUGGGGAAAAGAAGAUCAAUAGGCAUGGUGGCACACACCUGUAAUUCCAGCCCUCAGGAAGACAGAGGCAGGCAUAUGACUCAAAGUUUGAGGCCAGCCUGGUCUACAAAGGAAGUCCAGAACAGCCAAAGCACUACAGAGAAACCCUGAUUCAAAAACCAAGAAGAAGAAGAAGAAGAAGAAGAAGAAGAAGAAGAAGAAGAAGAAGAAGAAGAAGGAAGAGGAAGAGGAAGAAGAAGAAGGAAGAGGAAAGAAGAAGAAGGAAGAGGAAGAGGAA